rnacentral:lncRNA from 1 species
GAAAAGGUGGUUACAUACAGUUUUGUAAAGAUAUUUGGAAACUUUGGUCUGGAAAAGACCACAUCAGAGAAACUGUUAUCUGAAAGUCACACUGGUGACAAAAAAAGCUUUCAGUACAUAUCUUAGCAAGAUCUUGAAUGUGCUCAAAUAGCCACCUUCUUUUGUGACCACUGGAGUUAAUAGUCUAAUUAUGUGCCUAUGAAAUAUUAUGACAGACUUAAGGCCAGUAGAGCCAGCCCUCAGCAUGGUCUUUCUAGGGAACUACUACCUCUUCAGGAGACAUGUACUACAAGCUAUGGAUCAUAUUUAUCAGCAGGAAUCAGAGAAAAACAACAAACAAAAAACAUGUGUGGGGAUGGAGUGUGAAGAUGCUCAACAAGAAGGGGCAGAAUAUAGAGCUGAGUAG